ACGGAGGGUGCAAGCGUUAUCCGGAUUCACUGGGUUUAAAGGGUGUGUAGGCGGGCUAUUAAGUCAGUGGUGAAAUCUCAGGGCUCAACCCUGAAACUGCCAUUGAUACUAUUAGUCUUGAAUUCUGUUGAGGUGGGCGGAAUAUGUCAUGUAGCGGUGAAAUGCUUAGAUAUGACAUAGAACACCAAUUGCGUAGGCAGCUUACUACACGAUCAUUGACGCUGAGGCACGAAAGCGUGGGGAGCAAACAGGA
rnacentral:rRNA from 1 species